UCAACCUGAGAGUUUGAUCCUGGCUCAGAGCGAACGCUGGCGGCAGGCCUAAUACAUGCAAGUCGAGCGGUCCCUUCGGGGGCAGCGGCGGACGGGUGAGUAACGCGUGGGAACGUGCCCUUUGGUACGGAACAACUGAGGGAAACUUCAGCUAAUACCGUAUGUGCCCUUCGGGGGAAAGAUUUAUCGCCAUUGGAGCGGCCCGCGUUGGAUUAGGUAGUUGGUGAGGUAAAGGCUCACCAAGCCUACGAUCCAUAGCUGGUCUGAGAGGAUGAUCAGCCACACUGGGACUGAGACACGGCCCAGACUCCUACGGGAGGCAGCAGUAGGGAAUCUUGCGCAAUGGGCGAAAGCCUGACGCAGCCAUGCCGCGUGAAUGAUGAAGGUCUUAGGAUUGUAAAAUUCUUUCACCGGGGACGAUAAUGACGGUACCCGGAGAAGAAGCCC
rnacentral:rRNA from 1 species